rnacentral:rRNA from 1 species
ACUGAAUAGAUACCCGGGUAGUCCUGGCCGUAAACGAUGUCGACUAGAUCGCGGCGGCUCUGACGCCGUCGCGGUCGAAAGCAAAAGUGCUAAGUCGACCGCCUGGGAAGUACGGUCGCAAGGCUAAAACUCAAAGGAAUUGACGGGGGCUCACACAAGCGGUGGAGCAUGUGGUUCAAUUCGAAGCAACGCGCAGAACCUUACCUGGGUUUGACUCGCUAGGAUUAUCCUCGUGAAAGCGAGGUAGGCCCCGCAAGGGGUACAACUAGUACAGGUGCUGCAUGGCUGUCGUCAGCUCGUGUCGUGAGAUGUCGGGUUAAGUCCCUUAACGAGCGAAACCUUUACCCUUAGUUACCAGCGGGUUAUGCCGGGGACUCUAAGGGGACUGCCGGUGUCAAACCGGAGGAAGGUGGAGAUGACGUCAAGUCCUCAUGGCCUUUAUACCCAGGGCCACACACGUGCUACAAUGGCGUGCAUAAAGCGAACCUAAAGCGCGAGCUCAUGGAAAUCGCAAAAAUCACGCCCCAGUUCAGAUCGGAGGCUGCAAC